UCCAUCCAGCAGCUGGUGUGUGCAGGACUGACUGAACAUUAACUCAGGAGCAACAAAAACACCAGCCUCUGCCCUGAGGUUUGCGGGGCCUGCCUUAACUGUGAGCGAGCCAUACAGGAGUCACCCUGGUUUCCUCAGUUGUCGUGUAGAUACAGUAGCUCAGCCGUCAUCGAAUGAUCUACUUUGAGCUAUCUCCAUGACAAUCUAAGCAAACUUCUUUCAUUGAGGAAUGCCACGAAAUGCAGUUGAAAAAUGUGGUUUCUGAAGAGUAGUUUGGAAGCUCAGUGUGAAGGCUCUGGCUGUUGCCACGUUGGCAGUCCUGCCUCUUCCGCCUCCCAUCUGAUCUGAAAGUUGGCAAAGACGUUGAGCUGAGAUGGGCUGAAUGUCACCUGUGUGCUCAAACAAGCCACCA